rnacentral:rRNA from 1 species
GAUGAACGCUGGCGGCGUGCUUAACACAUGCAAGUCGAACGAAGCACUUAUGAAAGAAUCUUCGGAUGAUAGAUUAAGUGACUGAGUGGCGGACGGGUGAGUAACGCGUGGGUAACCUGCCUCAUACGAGGGGGAUAACAGUUAGAAAUGACUGCUAAUACCGCAUAAGCGCACAGGACCGCAUGGUCUGGUGUAGAAAAACUCCGGUGGUAUGAGAUGGACCCGCGUCUGAUUAGCUAGUUGGUGGGGUAACGGCCUACCAAGGCGACGAUCAGUAGCCGACCUGAGAGGGUGACCGGCCACAUUGGGACUGAGACACGGCCCAA